rnacentral:rRNA from 1 species
ACUCAAAGGAAUUGACGGGGACCCGCACAAGCGGUGGAGCAUGUGGUUUAAUUCGAAGCAACGCGAAGAACCUUACCAAGUCUUGACAUCUAACUGACAGGCUGUUAACCCAGCCAUUCCUUCGGGACAGUUAAGACAGGUGGUGCAUGGUUGUCGUCAGCUCGUGUCGUGAGAUGUUGGGUUAAGUCCCGCAACGAGCGCAACCCUUAUCUUUAGUAGCCAGCGAGUAGAGUCGGGCACUCUAGAGAGACUGCCGGGGAUAACCCGGAGGAAGGUGGGGAUGACGUCAAAUCAUCAUGCCCCUUAUGAUUUGGGCUACACACGUGCUACAAUGGCGUAAACAAAGGGAGGCGACCCUGUGAAGGUGAGCAAAUCCCAAAAAUAACGUCUCAGUUCGGAUUGUAGUCUGCAACUCGACUACAUGAAGCUGGAAUCGCUAGUAAUCGCGGAUCAGAAUGCCGCGGUGAAUACGUUCCCGGGUCUUGUACACACCGCCCGU